rnacentral:lncRNA from 1 species
UCCUUGGUAGUAUUAUUAGUAGCUUCUUCCUUCUUAGACUAUUUAAUUAAAAAAUGUAAAAUACAAGUUAAGAAGAAAAAGAAAGAUAGUCUUUUGAAACCCUAAUGGAAAAAUAAUCAUUUUCUUCAUACCUUAGUGGAGCUUCUACUGGGGCAACUGGUUGGUUUCUCGUUGAAAGCCGGGACAACGAACCGGGUUUGUGUCGGUGCAUAACCGGUUUGGAUACUAUCGGUCUGGGUCGCUGUUUGAUUGUUCCAAAAUGGCAUCACACCAUUCGAGAACCGGAGGUGAUCUUGGUGGUGAUUGUCGUUUUGAUGAUUAGGGUUUUGGAAUUUCGACCAAGAAGGAGACAAUCCAUUCAACAAGCUGUUUCCGAUCCCGUAAGUAGCAGAAGGGGACGGGAAGUUGUUGACGAAUAUCGGGUUUUGUUGUGAAUCGGAUUCGAACAAGCCUUGAAUCGGGUAGCCAUGAAUCGGAUUCGAUGAGAAAUCAUUGGUCAACCUACUUAGAUUAUGGUUGAGUGGACGACCGCGGCUG